AUGUCUGACACAAGCAGAAAGACCCGCCAUAAAGAUGCUGAACAAUUUGCUCGAACCGAAGCUACUGGCACUAAAUCUAUAGCAGAACUAGACUGGCUUCGAAGAAGUGAGAGGGCGCGUACCCUAACAGAAAGGGGGAGAGCAUACCAAGAUAAGAGACUGAAGCACAUUCAACGCAGAUACAAAAUAAUCUAUGAGAAGUGGAGGUGUCAUGCACGAAUAGACAAAGAGUUAUUAAGUGGCGAUUCUUCUAAGGAUGAGUUAACUGAGCUUAUUGAGAAUAUCAAAGGCACCUGUUCUAAUGUAAAAGUAGUUUAUGAGGAGCUGCGUCAAGUGCAAACCCCUGAACCAGACCUGCGGCGCAGGGUUGAUACAUGCAUGUCAUUCUCAGAAUUUAUUAUUCAAAGAGCAGAAAGACAGCUUAAAGGUCAUGAAGCAGAUAAAGAUGAAGAGUCUUGGCCUGACGUUGGAUCCGUUCUAGGUUCAACAGGUUCUGUUUCUAGACCACUGUCUCGUCAAUCAGGAUGUAGUUCUACCCACUCUAGCAGCCACUCUCUCAAAAGAAUAGAGGCUGUAGCUGAAGCUGCUGCAACUCAGGAAGUCUUGGCAGUGUUGGAGGAGCAAGAAAGGGAAGAAACAGAACUUCAAAUGUUAGAAGCUGAGAACCUAGCCAGACAGCAAGCAAUUCAAGAUAAACGAAGAAAACUUGCACGCCUAGAAGAAGUAAAGAAGCUGAAUGCUGCUAGAGCUCGAGUGAGGGUCUAUGAUGAAGCUGAAGAAAACAUAGAAGCAACUGAUUUGUUGUAUGGUAGUGAAGUACUGCCAGAGCUUAAAGUCACUGACUCCACAGUACUUCCAGUCACAACCCAUUCUCUCAAUGCAUCAAGUCCCCCAUUCAUUCAUCAAUCCUUAGCAGUCAUAAGUCAAGCUCCUUGCCCACAACAGCUACCUGAGUCUCCUCCAGCCUCAGUGUUGAGGCCUCAAGAGCAGAAUAGCUUAGAUCUGGUCAAUGUGCUAGUAGAAGCUAUGAGCGCAAAUCGGCUCCCAACACCAGAGCCUGCGGUUUUUACAGGAGAUCCCUUGAAGUUCAAAGAUGGGCAACUGUCCUUUGAAACAUUGAUAGAAAGGAAGAACAUCCCAAAGAAUGAAAAACUAUAUUACCUAAGAAAGUACUUAGGUGGCACAGCAAAGAAGGCCGUGGAAGGAUUUCUUCUGUUGGGCACAGAAGCAGCAUAUGACUCAGCCUGGAAGCUUUUAGAGAAACGUUUCGGAGACCCAUUUCUAAUUGGGAAGUCACUCAGAGACAAACUGCAUGCAUGGCCAAAGAUAGGUUCUAAGGAUGCUUGCGAGCUAAGAGAAUUUGCAGACUUUCUCAAGAGCUGUGAGGCUGCCAUGUCUCAUGUCAAGAUGCUGCAGGUCUUGAAUGACUGCAUUGAGAGUCAGAGGAUUCUGCUAAAAUUGCCAGAUUGGUUGGCUUCUAGCUGGAAUCGCAAAGUGAUGGUAGUCAGACAAGUGAAAGCUGAGUACCCACCAUUCAAGAUGUUUGUUGACUUCCUAUCAAAGGAAGCAGAUCUUGCUUGCGAUCCAAUUUCUUCAAUACAAGCACUUAAGAGUGUUGAAAGCGAGAAACCAAGGCAUCCACGAAGCCAAAUAGUUCAAGCAAAGACUCUGACCACAAGUACAAUACAGAGCAGUAUUACAUCAUGUGUUUUCUGCAAAAGGACAGGACACACCCUAGACAAAUGCCGAAGUUUCACCGAAAGGACAGUUCAGGAUCGUGUUAAGUUUGUACACACAGAGAAGCUUUGCUUUGGAUGUUUGAAGACCGGUCAUCACUCAAGAAAAUGUGAUAACAAAAGCACGUGUGAGAAAUGCCAAAAGAGACACCCGACAUGUUUGCAUGAUAAGUUCAAGGAACGUCAAAGGCCAAUCCACCUAAAUGGAGGUGAAAUUUCAAAGGACAAGGCGGAUACCACAGAAAGGACCGCAACAGCCACUUCCAACAGUUAUCCAAGAGGGUCUAAGCACACAAACAUCUUCUAUCUUGCCAGUCUGGGUGUCAUCUAUUAA
rnacentral:lncRNA from 1 species